AUGUAUCUUGAGGGCAAGAUUGUAAUUUUCUUUAUCUUUGAGGCCCGUGAUGUUACUCAAAUUGUAAUCUUGGUGGAGCCUUUUGGUUCUGGUUUUAAUGAAAGCAGGGAGGCCCCCUCCUUCGGAGGGCAGGGCCCAAAGUUUGCCAAAAAAAAAAGACCAGCAGUCAACCAUGGAGGAGAAGAUUUGAACAGAAUUGCAAAUUCGCCAAGGGGCAGUAGAGUCAUUUUGCAUGGCAUUGUGCAAAUCAAUAAUAUUUUUCACUUCUUAUGCAUGUAUUAUCAUGAACAACUUUGUUGCGGCACAAACCGUGAAAAAGACAUAAUGUCUUCGGAUCAAAGAGAGAUUGUAUGCUGUACUUUUUUCAGAGGCAAAUAA
rnacentral:rRNA from 1 species